UGCGUAGGCGGUUUGCCAAGUUUGGUGUGAAAUCUCCCGGCUUAACUGGGAGGGUGCGCCGAAAACUGGCAGACUAGAGUGGGGGAGAGGAGAGUGGAAUUCCUGGUGUAGCGGUGAAAUGCGUAGAUAUCAGGAGGAACACCGGUGGUGUAGACGGCUCUCUGGACCCUAACUGACGCUGAGGCACGAAAGCGUGGGUAGCAAACAGGAUUAGAUACCCUGGUAGUCCACGCCCUAAACGAUGCACAUUUGGUGUGGGUCAUUCAGUUGAUCCGUGCCGGAGCUAACGCGUUAAAUGUGCCGCCUGGGGAGUACGGUCGCAAGGCUGAA
rnacentral:rRNA from 1 species